UGAGUCUAGUACUGUAUAUAAAACGGGUCAACAUGUCUCUGUGUCUCUAAACUGAAAACUGUGUCUAGGUGUUCCAUACCCAGUGCCACCCUUUCUCAAUACGUGAGUGUAGCUUUGAGAAGAAAGAGCUUAGAGAGAUGGAGAUGGAUAUGUACAGAUGUGUGGAAUGUGGGUUUCGGAUCAAAACACUGUUCGUGCAGUACUCACCUGGAAACAUCCGACUCAUGAAAUGCGAGAAUUGCAAAGCAGUUGCUGAUGAGUACAUCGAAUGUAAUUUCUUGAUUCUUCUAAUUGAUUUGAUUCUGCACAAGCCCAAAGCAUAUAGACAUCUACUCUUUAACGUUCUUAAACAAGGAGCUCCACAUUUUGAGGGUUUAUUGUGGAAGUCAACUGUUGGUUAUCUUCUUUUGGAUGCUUACAGGCGUAUUGUUCUAAAAAGUUGUGAUGAAGAGUGGAGUUCGUCCAUGAGCCUUUCUUCAUUAGUUUGGACAUGUCGAAAGUUGUUGACAGAUGUCUUUCUUGGCAAUCUUUUGUUUCUCGGUACUUUUCUUCUUGCAACAAAGAUAUUUCUGAGCAGAUCAGCUGGAAGCCUAAGGAAUAAAGAUAUUUUGCUUGCAAUCUUGAUUUCAAGUUACUUCAAGAUGUUUCUUAUCGUCAUGAUGGUCUGGGAGUUUCCAUCUUCUGUGAUUUUCAUCGUUGAUCUAUUUGUUUUAUCAUCCAACACAGUGGCAGUAAAAGUGAUGACUGAAUCAGCUAUGAGUAGAUGCAUAGGAGCCUGCUUCAGUGCACAUGCUGUUAAGAUUUUCACCAAUCAGUAAAAGUUUUGUAGAGAUGUUAGACCUUACUGUGACGGCAAAUGUUCUCUAAACAAGCGGGUGUAAGACUGUUUAGCAACUACCUUUUCCAUUUCUACUCAAAAUCUACAAAAGUGAGAGCCUAAUCCACUUGAUGGCACUAUUGGCAGAGGCAAUCCCAUGGCUGGUUUCCAUUAUGGCAGCAUUGCCUAAGAUUAAGUAGUGAUCCAACUCUUCUGAAUUCACUUCCAUGCAGAAAAAAACUGCUACCUUGCUAGUUGCUAUCACCUUUUUUGUGAGUCAAAAAACUUACUAUGAGAUGUUGAAAGUCGGGAAGAGUUUUAGCUUACUUGGUUUGAUCAUGAUGUACUACUACUAUAUUUUGAAUUUUUACAGAGAAGUAGGGAACUAUUGGUAGUUUGGUAACUUCGGUUUUCUUAUAGCUAGUUACAUGAGUUAAUAAUUUUGGAAUAGCUCUCAGAUUGAAAAUUUAUCA